CUCGGCAACGGAUAUCUCGGCUCUCGCAUCGAUGAAGAACGUAGCGAAAUGCGAUACUUGGUGUGAAUUGCAGAAUCCCGUGAACCAUCGAGUCUUUGAACGCAAGUUGCGCCCGAAGCCAUCUGGCCGAGGGCACGUCUGCCUGGGUGUCACGC
rnacentral:rRNA from 1 species